UCACUUCACAAUAUUCAGAAACUCUCAAUACUCUUAUUUCAAAGAACAUAACAACAAAAGAAAAGAGGUAGCACCAAGCUUACCCCGGCUCACACUAUCACAGUAAUGGCAGUUUCUUCCUCUCUCUCAUCCUCCUUAUCCUACCACAAGAUACCAACUGCUACAUCUCUAAUGAAAACUGCUUUUCCUAACUAUUCAUCCAUUUUAACUACUGAACUACCUUUCUAACAGUCAUCUAUUCCUGUUUACACUAUAAACUAAGUAUCUACAAAUCAGCAAAUAACUACU
rnacentral:lncRNA from 1 species